UCAUGAUUUACAUUUGAGUGAGUGGCGAACUGGUGAGUAACACGUGGGAAACCUGCCCAGAAGCGGGGGAUAACACCUGGAAACAGAUGCUAAUACCGCAUAACAACUUGGACCGCAGGGUCCGAGCUUGAAAGAUGGCUUCGGCUAUCACUUUUGGAUGGUCCCGCGGCGUAUUAGCUAGAUGGUGGGGUAACGGCUCACCAUGGCAAUGAUACGUAGCCGACCUGAGAGGGUAAUCGGCCACAUUGGGACUGAGACACGGCCCAAACUCCUACGGGAGGCAGCAGUAGGGAAUCUUCCACAAUGGACGAAAGUCUGAUGGAGCAACGCCGCGUGAGUGAAGAAGGGUUUCGGCUCGUAAAACUCUGUUGUUAAAGAAGAACAUAUCUGAGAGUAACUGUUCAGGUAUUGACGGUAUUUAACCAGAAAGCCACGGCUAACUACGUGCCAGCAGCCGCGGUAAUACGUAGGUGGCAAGCGUUGUCCGGAUUUAUUGGGCGUAAAGCGAGCGCAGGCGGUUUUUUAAGUCUGAUGUGAAAGCCUUCGGCUCAACCGAAGAAGUGCAUCGGAAACUGGGAAACUUGAGUGCAGAAGAGGACAGUGGAACUCCAUGUGUAGCGGUGAAAUGCGUAGAUAUAUGGAAGAACACCAGUGGCGAAGGCGGCUGUCUGGUCUGUAACUGACGCUGAGGCUCGAAAGUAUGGGUAGCAAACAGGAUUAGAUACCCUGGUAGUCCAUACCGUAAACGAUGAAUGCUAAGUGUUUGGAAGGGUUUCCGCCCUUCAGUGCUGCAGCUAACGCAUUAAGCAUUCCGCCUGGGGGAGUACGGCCGCAAGGCUGAAACUCAAAGGAAUUGACGGGGGCCCGCACAAGCGGUGGAGCAUGGUGGUUUAAUUCGAAGCUACGCGAAGAACCUUACCAGGUCUUGACAUACUAUGCAAAUCUAAGAAGAUUAGACGUUCCCUUCGGGGACAUGGAUACAAGGUGGGGGCAUGGGUUGUCCUCACCUCCUGUCCUGAAAAGUUUGGGUUAAAUCCCCCCACCAAGGGCACCCCUUAUUAUCAUUUGCCACCAUUAAUUUGGGACCCUCGUUGGAACUGCCGGGGAAAACCCAAGAAAAGGGGGGGGGUGGAGGAAAAAACAAAAUGGC
rnacentral:rRNA from 2 species